rnacentral:rRNA from 1 species
GAUGAACGCUAGCGGCAGGCUUAACACAUGCAAGUCGAGGGGCAUCGGGAGGGAAGCUUGCUUUCCUUGCCGGCGACCGGCGCACGGGAGAGUAACACGUAUGCAACCUGCCCUCUUCAGGGGGACAACCUUCCGAAAGGGAGGCUAAUCCCGCGUAUAUCGGUUUCGGGCAUCCGUUAUCGAGGAAAGAUUCAUCGGAAGAGGAUGGGCAUGCGGCGCAUUAGCUUGACGGCGGGGUAACGGCCCACCGUGGCGACGAUGCGUAGGGGUUCUGAGAGGAAGGUCCCCCACACUGGUACUGAGACACGGACCAGACUCCUACGGGAGGCAGCAGUGAGGAAUAUUGGUCAAUGGGAGAGAUCCUGAACCAGCCAAGCCGCGUGAGGGAAGACGGCCCUAUGGGUUGUAAACCUCUUUUGUCGGAGAACAAAACCCGGGACGAGUCCCGGACUGCGUGUAUCCGAAGAAAAAGCAUCGGCUAACUCCGUGCCAGCAGCCGCGGUAAUACGGAGGAUGCGAGCGUUAUCCGGAUUUAUUGGGUUUAAAGGGUGCGUAGGCGGUCCGUUAAGUCAGCGGUAAAAUUGCGGGGCCCAACCCCGUCGAGCCGUUGGAACUGGCAGACUUGAGUUGGCGAGAAGUACGCGGAAUGCGCGGUGUAGCGGUGAAAUGCAUAGAUAUCGCGCAGAACUCCGAUUGCGAAGGCAGCGUACCGGCGCCAGACUGACGCUGAGGCACGAAAGCGUGGGGAUCGAACAGGAUUAGAUACCCUGGUAGUCCACGCAGUAAACGAUGAAUGCUGGUUGUCCGGGUCGAAUGAGACCUGGGCGGCGAAGCGAAAGCGAUAAGCAUUCCACCUGGGGAGUACGCCGGCAACGGUGAAACUCAAAGGAAUUGACGGGGGCCCGCACAAGCGGAGGAACAUGUGGUUUAAUUCGAUGAUACGCGAGGAACCUUACCCGGGCUCAAACGGGAGUGGAAUGGACCAGAGACGGUUCAGCCUACGGGCCGCUUCCGAGGUGCUGCAUGGUUGUCGUCAGCUCGUGCCGUGAGGUGUCGGCUUAAGUGCCAUAACGAGCGCAACCCCCGCCGGCAGUUGCUAACGGGCAAUGCCGAGGACUCUGCCGGGACUGCCGCCGCAAGGCGUGAGGAAGGCGGGGAUGACGUCAAAUCAGCACGGCCCUUACGUCCGGGGCGACACACGUGUUACAAUGGGCGGUACAGCGGGAAGCCAGGCGGCGACGCCGAGCGGAACCCGAAAGCCGUUCUCAGUUCGGAUCGGAGUCUGCAACCCGACUCCGUGAAGCUGGAUUCGCUAGUAAUCGCGCAUCAGCCAUGGCGCGGUGAAUAC